UGAACGCUGGCGGCGUGUCUAAUACAUGCAAGUCGAGCGAACGGACGAGAAGCUUGCUUCUCUGAUGUUAGCGGCGGACGGGUGAGUAACACGUGGAUAACCUACCUAUAAGACUGGGAUAACUUCGGGAAACCGUAGCUAAUACCGGAUAAUAUUUUGAACCGCAUGGUUCAAAAGUGAAAGACGGUCUUGCUGUCACUUAUAGAUGGAUCCGCGCUGCAUUAGCUAGUUGGUAAGGUAACGGCUUACCAAGGCAACGAUGCAUAGCCGACCUGAGAGGGUGAUCGGCCACACUGGAACUGAGACACGGUCCAGACUCCUACGGGAGGCAGCAGUAGGGAAUCUUCCGCAAUGGGCGAAAGCCUGACGGAGCAACGCCGCGUGAGUGAUGAAGGUCUUCGGAUCGUAAAACUCUGUUAUUAGGGAAGAACAUAUGUGUAAGUAACUGUGCACAUCUUGACGGUACCUAAUCAGAAAGCCACGGCUAACUACGUG
rnacentral:rRNA from 1 species